rnacentral:misc_RNA from 1 species
GAUGAAGAACGUAGCGAAAUGCGAUAAGUAAUGUGAAUUGCAGAAUUCCGUGAAUCAUCGAAUCUUUGAACGCACAUUGCGCCCUCUGGUAUUCCGGGGGGCAUGCCUGUCCGAGCGUCAUUUGCAACCCUCAAGCCCGGCUUGUGUGGUGGGUGCCGUCCCCUACGGGACGCGCCCCGAAGGCAAUGGCGGCGUCGCGGUUAUCCGAUCAGCCAAAGUGUAUGGGGCUUUGUCACUCACUUUACGGCCCGGACCGGCGCCAGUCCGAAUCAAUCUUUUUUCUAAAGUUGACCUCGGAUCAGGUAGGGAUACCCGCUGAACUUAAGCAUAUCAAUAAGCGGAGGA